CCCUUAGAUGCUCUGGGCCGCACGCGCGCUACACUGAUGCAUUCAACGAGUUUCUUCCUGGUCCGAGAGGAAUGGGUAACCUUUUGAAAGUGCAUCGUGAUAGGGAUAGACUAUUGCAAUUAUUGGUCUUCAACGAGGAAUUCCUAGUAGACGUAGUUCAUCAGACUGCAUCGAUUACGUCCCUGCCCUUUGUACACACCGCCCGUCGCUCCUACCGAUUGAAUGCUCAGGUGAGCCAUUCGGACUUUCAUCAUGCUGGUUUCCAGUUUUGAUGAAGGAAAGUCUUGCGAACCUUAUCAUUUAGAGGAAGGAGAAGGCGUAACA
rnacentral:rRNA from 1 species